GCUGAUUUAAAACCCAGUUUUGAAACACCCUAUCUCGUCUGAUCUCGAAAGUUAAGCAGGUUUGGGCUUGGUUAGAACUUGGAUGGGAGACCGCCUGGGAACCCUGGGUGCUGUAGGCU
rnacentral:rRNA from 1 species